rnacentral:lncRNA from 13 species
GCAGAAAUGAGAGCUUGGCACAUGCCUCCCCUACCUGGGGCUUCCCAGGGAUGAAAACAGAGGAAGGAGGGGUUUGUGAGGUCCCUUUUUCUUUGGCAUGUGAGAGGUUAACUUCUUACCUUCAGUCUUCACCCAUUUUCCUCUCCUUGACUACUGGCAGAUCCUGGACUCCACCCUGUGCUGACCAGGUGUGGACCCCUCUGCUGACCUGAGGACCUGCCUCAGACCAAGGGCCCCACUUCUCUGAGAUGUGGGAGACAGAAAGUGAAGGGGCGCUACAUGGACACCCCUGCAUGGCAUUCCAAAGGCUAACAGAUGGAGCAGAUUUCAGGGGUGCCUCCUCUCUCUGGGUGUCCUCCGGGGACUGGGCCCUGGCUGUGCUCCCCGCAGGUCAUGCUCGUGAUAUCAAGCCCCUUCCUUCCGUCAGCCCAGGAUGCGCAAAUCAGGAUCCGUGUGCCUGGCAGCCGUGCCAGGAUCUUCCCAGGACUGACAGCAGAGAUGGAGCCUCGCUCUGUGGGGCCUCAGCCCUCCCUCAUGAUCCUGACCUUGAUGCCUGGCAGAACCUGGGCCCUGUCCUCUCCUAGCCAGCCUUGCCCUGGUCACACCAAGCUGUGACCCCAGAGUCCCCUGAGGCUUAAGCGGCUGGGGGUCGGGGGGUGGAAGUUCGGAAGGCCCAGCCUGAGAAGUCCGCCCCCGUGGGGUGAUCCAGCACUGGCAGCAGAUGCGGUGCUGGAUUAUUUGGGGUCCUCUCUCUGGGGAGGAGGCGUCCUCAGUCCUCUCUCAGCAUCUCAUCUUGCCUUCUCACAGAGCCUGGGCCCGCUGCCCUCAGCGGAUCUCAAGCCACCCCUCAGAAGCAGGCUCUCACGUCUCUCUGACCCCCUAAUGCGCAAGGCGGAGCACCAAGCCCGAGCGCCCUUGCGUUGACAGCAGGGACAAAGAUGGAUUCUACUGGGAUGGGGUGGAGCCUCUCCAUAAUUUCUCAGAGUCCUGAAGUUGAUGUCUGGAGAGGCCUGGGGCCCCAUCCCUUGUGGAACUGCCUCUGCCCAAGUCACACCAUAGACCCGACUCACAGAGUCUCCUUGGGCAUUGAGGUAGGGGAUUGUCUCAGCCUGAUAAUUUGGUCCCCUGCUGGUUCAGGGCUGGCUCCAGGGUCGGUACUGGAUUAUUU